rnacentral:lncRNA from 1 species
UAAAAAGUUGGCACAAUUUCUUAAAAUCGAAGUUUCAUUCUUUUUUGUUUUGGGUACACAAGAGCCCUAUCUUAAAAUGAUAUUUGUCACAUUCGUACUUUAUUUGUUUAAAGGCAUUUGUCUUCAAGAUACAAGAAAACAAAGAUGUAUCUUUUGAUAUUCCAUAGCUCUAUGCAUCUGAGCUUACAACCCACACACUAAACACCAAAAUCUUUUGAAGGUUUAGAGAGAGAAAGAGAGAAAAAACGAGUAGAGAAAGAGAGAUGAGCUCAUUGUCAUUUGAUAUAGAAGAUGUAUUGAGA